rnacentral:rRNA from 1 species
AUUAGCCAUGCAUGUCUAAGUAUAAAUAGUAUACAGUGAAACUGCGAAUGGCUCAUUAAAACAGUUAUAGUUUAUUUGAUAGUCAAACUACAUGGAUAACCGUAGUAAUUCUAGAGCUAAUACAUGCGCACAAGCCCAACUCACGACGGGCUGUAUUUAUUAGAUAUAACCAACAUUUGGUGAAUCAUAGUAACUGAUCGGAGCUCGCGUCAGCGAGCUAAAUCAUUCAAGUUUCUGCCCUAUCAGCUUUCGAUGGUAGUGUAUUGGACUACCAUGGCAGUCACGGGUAACGGGGAAUUAGGGUUCGGUUCCGGAGAGGGAGCCUGAGAAACGGCUACCACAUCUAAGGAAGGCAGCAGGCGCGUAAAUUACCCAAUCCCGACUCGGGGAGGUAGUGACAAGAAAUAACAACCCAGAAGGUUCAUCCUUUAUGGGAUUGCAAUGAGAACAAUUCAAAACACUUAACGAGGAACAAUUGGAGGGCAAGUCUGGUGCCAGCAGCCGCGGUAAUUCCAGCUCCAAUAGCGUAUACUUAAGUUGUUGCAGUUAAAAAGCUCGUAGUUGAAUUUCUGGUUGGGCACUAACUCGGCUUCAGUCAGUUAGCUGUUCAAUCAUCCGUCUGCAAAUCCAAUCAGAACUUAACUGUUACGGUUGGUGGAGUAGACAUUUUACCUUGAAAAAAUUAGAGUGUUUCAGGCAGGUAAUCGCCGGAAUACAUUAGCAUGGAAUAAUGGAAUAGGACUUUGGUCUAUUGUUGGUUUCUAGACCCAAGUAAUGAUAAAUAGGAACAGUUGGGGGCAUUAGUAUUUAAUUGUCAGAGGUGAAAUUCUUGGAUUUAUUAAAGACUAACUUAUGCGAAAGCAUUUGCCAAGGAUGUUUUCAUUAAUCAAGAACGAAAGUUAGGGGAUCAAAGACGAUCAGAUACCGUCGUAGUCUUAACUAUAAACUAUACCGACUCGGGAUCGGAAGGGUUUUUAAUUUGGCCCUUUCGGCACCGUAUGAGAAAUCAAAGUCUUUGGGUUCUGGGGGGGAGUAUGGUCGCAAGGCUGAAACUUAAAGGAAUUGACGGAAGGGCACCACCAGGAGUGGAGCCUGCGGCUUAAUUUGACUCAACACGGGGAAACUUACCAGGUCAAAACCUGGAUGGGAUUGANNGAUGAAAGCUCUUUCUUGAUUCUAGGNGGGGGGGGGCAUGGCCGUUCCUAGUUGGGGGGAGUGAUUUGGCUGGUUAAUUCCGAUAACGAACNAAACCUUAAACUGGCUAACAAGUUCUUUCCCGGGCAAGGGGUGNGAAAUUCUUAAAGGGACUAUGCGCUUUAAUCGCAUGGAAGUUUGAGGCAAUAACAGGUCUGUGAUGCCCUUAGAUGUCCUGGGCCGCACGCGCGCUACACUGACACGUUCAGCGAGCUUAUUUCACCUGGCUCGACAGAGUUCGGGAAAUCUUGUUAGGACGUGUCGUGCUGGGGAUCGAUCUUUGCAAUUAUAGAUCUUGAACGAGGAAUUCCUUGUAAGCACAGGUCAUCAGCCUGUGCUGAAUACGUCCCUGCCCUUUGUACACACCGCCCGUCGCUCCUACCGAUUUUGAGUGAUCCGGUGAACCUUCUGGACUGAGUGCAGGCUCGAACCUGCAAACGGGAAGUUAUGUAAACCUUAUCACUAGAGAAGAGAAGU